AGCUCUUGCUCCUGCUCCUUCGCCUGCUUGCUGCGUGAGACUGAGUAACUACUAGAUCCUUGGACUUCCAUUCACAGCUGUGACUGAACGAUUGUUGGGAAUUGAGCUGCCGACUGGUCAUUCCACAGCCAAGCCACCCACAGAGCCACCAGUGAGAGGGUGAGCGCGAAGGAAUACAAGAGGAAGAGGCCGUUGCUGUCCAGGAAGAGGCGCCUGCGCUUCUGGUGCAAGACGAGAGCCAGCAUGGCGAAGAAGGUGAAGAUGAAGAGGAUGAAGAUCUGGCCCUCGGUGACCAGGCUACUGUGAAUGGGACUGUACCUGCCUGGUAUAGAAGAAGGUUACUGAUUUGGGAAAACACCAAAUGGCGGAUGACGCCGGUGCAUCGGGAGGGCCGGGAGGACCCGGGGGCCCAGGAUUAGGAGGCCGCGAUGGCUUCCUCGGAGGAUUCAGCAGUGGUCUUAGGGGCCACGGUCGUGGCCGAGGCCGCGGGGCUCGUGGAGGUAAAGCUGAAGACAAGAGUGGAUCCCCGUCACCAAGCUGGGCCGCCUGGUUAAGGACAUGAAGAUCAAGCCCUUGGAGGAGAUCUACCUGUUCUCCCUGCCCAUUAAGGAGUCUGAGAUCAUUGACUUCUUCCUGGGUGCGUCCCUAAAGGAUGAGGGUCUGAAAAUCAUGCCAGUGCAGAAGCAGAUUCGGGCUGGCCAGCGGACCAGGUUCAAGGCUUUUGUCGCUACUGGGGACUACAGUGGUCACGUUAAGAGCUCCAAGGAGGUUGCCACUGCCAUCCGAGGGGCCAUCAUCUUGGCCAAGCUUUCCAUCGUCCCUGUGCGGAGAGGCUACUUGGGGAACAAGAUUGACAAGCCCCACACUGUUCCAUGCAAGGUGAUAGGCCGCUGUGGCUCUGUGCUGGUGCGUCUCAUCCCUGCCCCCAGAGGCACUGGCACUGUCUCUGCUCCUGUGCCUAAGAAGCUCCUGAUGAUGGCCGGUAUAGAUGACUGCUACACUUCAGCCAGAGGCUGCACUGCCACCCUGGGCAACUUUGCUAAGGCCACCUUUGAUGCCAUCUCCAAGACUUACAGCUACCUGACCCCCACCUCUGGAAAGAGACUGUCUUCACCAAGUCUCCUUAUCAGGAAUUCACUGAUCACACCAGAGUCUCUGUUCAGAGGACCCAGGCUCCAGCUGUGGCUACUACAUAAGGAUUUUGUACAAGAAAAAUAAAAGAAUUAAGUCUG